rnacentral:rRNA from 1 species
GAUGAACGCUAGCGGGAGGCUUAACACAUGCAAGUCGAGGGGCAGCAUAGGGUAGCAAUACUCUGAUGGCGACCGGCAAACGGGUGAGUAACGCGUAUGCAACCUACCCUGUACAGGGGGAUAACCCGGAGAAAUUCGGACUAAUAUCCCGUAAUAAUAUCCGGAGGCAUCUUUGGAUAUUUAAAGUUUCGACGGUACGGGAUGGGCAUGCGUAACAUUAGCUGGUUGGUAAGGUAACGGCUUACCAAGGCUAUGAUGUUUAGGGGUCCUGAGAGGGUGGUCCCCCACACUGGUACUGAGGCACGGACCAGACUCCUACGGGAGGCAGCAGUGAGGAAUAUUGGUCAAUGGGCGCAAGCCUGAACCAGCCAUCCCGCGUGCAGGAAGACGGCCCUAUGGGUUGUAAACUGCUUUUCCAGGGAGAGAAACUUACGCACGUGUUGCGUGACUGACGGUACCCUGGGAAUAAGCAUCGGCUAACUCCGUG